rnacentral:rRNA from 1 species
UGGGGAAUAUUGCACAAUGGGCGAAAGCCUGAUGCAGCGACGCCGCGUGAGGGAUGACGGCCUUCGGGUUGUAAACCUCUUUCAGCAGGGACGAAGCGCAAGUGACGGUACCUGCAGAAGAAGCACCGGCUAACUACGUGCCAGCAGCCGCGGUAAUACGUAGGGUGCAAGCAUUGUCCGGAAUUACUGGGCGUAAAGAGUUCGUAGGCGGUUUGUCGCGUCGUUUUUGAAAACCAGCAGCUCAACUGCUGGCUUGCAGGCGAUACGGGCAGAGUUGCGUACUGCAGGGGCGGCUGGAAUUCCUGGUGUAGCGGUGAAAUGCGCAGAUAUCAGGAGGAACACCGGUUGCAAAGGCGGCUCUCUGGGCAGUAACUGACGCUGAUGAACGAAAGCGUGCGUAGCGAUCAGG